AGAGUUUGAUCMUGGCUCAGAUUGAACGCUGGCGGAAUGCUUUACACAUGCAAGUCGAGCGGCAGCGCGGGGGCAACCCUGGCGGCGAGCGGCGAACGGGUGAGUAACRCAUCGGAACGURCCCUAUCGUGGGGGAUAACGAAUCGAAAGAUUCGCUAAUACCGCAUACGACCUGAGGGUGAAAGCGGGGGAUCGCAAGACCUCGCGCGAUUGGAGCGGCCGAUGUCGGAUUAGCUAGUUGGUGAGGUAAAGGCUCACCAAGGCGACGAUCCGUAGCUGGUCUGAGAGGACGACCAGCCACACUGGGACUGAGACACGGCCCAGACUCCUACGGGAGGCAGCAGUGGGGAAUUUUGGACAAUGGGGGCAACCCUGAUCCAGCCAUUCCGCGUGAGUGAAGAAGGCCUUCGGGUUGUAAAGCUCUUUCGGCAGGAACGAAACGGUGCAGGUUAAUACCCUGUAUCAAUGACGGUACCUGAAGAAGAAGCACCGGCUAACUACGUGCCAGCAGCCGCGGUAAUACGUAGGGUGCGAGCGUUAAUCGGAAUUACUGGGCGUAAAGCGUGCGCAGGCGGCUUUGURAGACAGGUGUGAAAUCCCCGGGCUUAACCUGGGAACUGCGCUUGUGACUGCAAGGCUUGAGUGUGGCAGAGGGGGGUGGAAUUCCACGUGUAGCAGUGAAAUGCGUAGAGAUGUGGAGGAACACCGAUGGCGAAGGCAGCCCCCUGGGUCAACACUGACGCUCAUGCACGAAAGCGUGGGUAGCAAACAGGAUUAGAUACCCUGGUAGUCC
rnacentral:rRNA from 1 species